UACAGAGGUCUCAACCGUUGUUCGGAUUCAUUGGGCGUAAAGGGUGCGUAGGCGGUCGCGCAAGUCGGAUGUGAAAUCUCAGGGCUCAACCCUGAAACUGCAUUCGAUACUGCGUGGCUAGAGUGCUGGAGGGGAGACUGGAAUUUACGGUGUAGCAGUGAAAUGCGUAGAUAUCGUAAGGAAGACCAGUGGCGAAGGCGAGUCUCUGGACAGCAACUGACGCUGAGGCGCGAAAGCGUGGGGAGCAAACAGG
rnacentral:rRNA from 1 species